GUUGGCUUGGUUUAACAUCCUUGAGAAUCUCUUCUUCACUCGCAAUACAUGGUGCUGAUUGAUUCUAUGAGCUGUCGUCUCGGCUUGCUGUUUAGGUAUCUGGCCUCUAGCUGCUCGGGAGUUAUCACUAAUGAACUACAGGAAACUUAAGUAGCUUCAAAACUGUCCCAUGUAGAGGUUAUCGCCAUUCCAUCCCACAAUUCUUGUAGAUAGUUCCAGAGCGUUGUGCAGUUUACCCGAUUCACUGUCUACUUGUGGAAUAGUUCCAGAGGUCGGCGAUGACACAGUUGCAUCUAUGAUGAAAUUGUGCAGGACUCGGAGUCCAAUUUUGCUGCAUGAUGCUUCGUCUUAUGGAAAGGAAAAACACGUCCAGUACUACCGCUCAUAUCGUGGACAAACUAAAACUUGUUUUCCUGAUCUUCU
rnacentral:misc_RNA from 1 species